rnacentral:rRNA from 1 species
ACGGCUCAGUAACACGUGGUCAACCUAACUCGUGGACGUGGAUAACCUCGGGAAACUGAGAAUAAACCACGAUAGAUCAUAAUGCCUGGAAUGGCUUAUGGUCCAAACAGUUUACUGCCAUGGGAUGGGACUGCGGCCUAUCAGCUUGUUGGUGAGGUAAUGGCCCACCAAGGCGAUUACAGGUACGGGCUCUGAGAGGAGAAGCCCGGAGAUGGGUACUGAGACACGGACCCAGGCCCUAUGGGGCGCAGCAGGCGAGAAACCUUAGCAAUGUGCGAAAGCACGACUGGGUCAGUCCGAGUGAUUCCUGAUAAAGGAGUCUUUUGCUUGUCCUAAAAGCACAGGUGAAUAAGGGGUGGGCAAGUCUGGUGUCAGCCGCCGCGGUAAUACCAGCACCUCGAGUGGUCAGGACGUUUAUUGGGCCUAAAGCAUCCGUAGCCGGCUCUGCAAGUCUUCGGUUAAAUCCACCUGCUCAACAGAUGGGCUGCUGGAGAUACUACAGAGCUAGGGAGUGGGAGAGGCAGACGGUAUUCAGUGGGUAGGGGUAAAAUCCUCUGAUCCAUUGAGGACCACCAGUGGCGAAGGCGGUCUGCCAGAACACGUUCGACGGUGAGGGAUGAAAGCUGGGGGAGCAAACCGGAUUAGAUACCCGGGUAGUCCCAGCUGUAAACGAUGCAAACUCGGUGAUGCAUUGGCUUAUGGCCAAUGCAGUGCCGCAGGGAAGCCGUUAAGUUUGCCGCCUGGGAAGUACGGACGCAAGUCUGAAACUUAAAGGAAUUGGCGGGGGAG